rnacentral:rRNA from 1 species
AUUGAACGCUGGCGGCAGGCCUAACACAUGCAAGUCGAGCGGAGUGUCGGACGGGUGAGUAAUGCCUGGGACUCUGCCUGGUAGUGGGGGAUAACGUCAAGAAACGGGCGCCAAUACCGCAUCCUAUCAGAUGAGCCUAGGUCGAAUUAGCACGUUGGUGGGGUAAAGGCCUACCAGGGCGACGAUCCGUAACUGGUCUGAGAGGAUGAUCAGUCACACUGGAACUGGGACAGGGUCCAGACUCGUACGGGAGGCAGCAGUGGGGAAUAUUGGACAAUGGGCGAAAGCCUGAUCCAGCCAUGCCGCGUGUGUGAAGAAGGCCUUCGGGUUGUAAAGUACUUUCAGCGAGGAGGCGUUACUCGCAGAAGAAGCACCGGCUAACUCCGUGCCAGCAGCCGCGGUAAUAC